GUUCAUCUCAUAUCUGCAGGGAUUGCAUGACAAGCCAACAACUCGUUGAUUUCAUACAUGAACAAUUGAAUUCAGAGACCAAACUCUCGGCAGUAUGUGAAAAGGUUCUCGAUAGAUGUCUGGCUCCAAAUACCGCAGGUGGUGAAGGCUGUGAUAACAUGACCAUGAUCUUGGUUCAAUUCAAGAAGCCUGUUCAGUCCACGGAACCUACUCACUUAGAAACUGAACCAAAACCAGAACCAAGCCAAGCCGAAGCGAAGCAUGAUGACCCGAGCACAUCAAACUAGCCACAUCCUCGAGUCACGGAAGAUGGCUGGCAUGCAUCUAGAUCUAGUAAUUCGGUUCAGAUUGUAAAUCAUUUUGAAAGACAUUGUUAUAUAUCACAAACCUGAGGUUUCUGGGGAUUUUAGUAUUCCAUUUCCUCCGUGUGCAGACUUUUGUCUCACGAGCUCCCACAAUGCAGAAGGAAUAAUUGAUGUGAGAUUGUUGUUGGCCUUAAAGAACAUAUCAUCAUCAUGUAAAUAAACAAAUCAAUAUGACAUUUACACAACCC